AUACGGAGGAUGCAAGCGUUAUCCGGAUUUAUUGGGUUUAAAGGGUGCGUAGGCGGGACUGUAAGUCAGGGGUGAAAUACUGCAGCUUAACUGUAGCAUUGCCUUUGAAACUGCCGUUCUUGAGUACAGUUGAGGGAGGCGGAAUGUGGUGUGUAGCGGUGAAAUGCAUAGAUAUACCACAGAACGCCGAUUGCGAAGGCAGCUUACCAAGCUGUUACUGACGCUGAGGCACGAAAGCGUGGGGAUCAAACAGGAUUAGAUACCCUGGUAGUCCACGCUGUAAACGAUGAUUACUGGUUGUUAGCGAUAUAUAGCUAGUGACUGAGCGAAAGCAUUAAGUAAUCCACCUGGGGAGUACGUCGGCAACGAUGAAACUCAAAGGAAUUGACGGGG
rnacentral:rRNA from 1 species